rnacentral:sRNA from 1 species
AUCGGAUACGAUUAAAGGAAACAUGCAGUAGUUUAGAUCGUCACGCCUGCUGCUGUGCCGACAU